rnacentral:rRNA from 1 species
GAUGAACGCUGGCGGCGUGCCUAAUACAUGCAAGUCGAGCGAACGGACGAGAAGCUUGCUUCUCUGAUGUUAGCGGCGGACGGGUGAGUAACACGUGGAUAACCUACCUAUAAGACUGGGAUAACUUCGGGAAACCGGAGCUAAUACCGGAUGAUAUUUUGAACCGCAUGGUUCAAAAGUGAAAGACGGUCUUGCUGUCACUUAUAGCUGGAUCCGCGCUGCAUUAGCUAGUUGGUAAGGUAACGGCUUACCAAGGCAACGAGGCAUAGCCGACCUGAGAGGGUGAUCGGCCACACUGGAACUGAGACACGGUCCAGACUCCUACGGGAGGCAGCAGUAGGGAAUCUUCCGCAAUGGGCGAAAGCCUGACGGAGCAACGCCGCGUGAGUGAUGAAGGUCUUCGGAUCGUAAAACUCUGUUAUUAGGGAAGAACAUAUGUGUAAGUAACUGUGCACAUCUUGACGGUACCUAAUCAGAAAGCCACGGCUAACUACGUG